AGAGAUGGGUCUUGCUAUGUUACCCAGGCUGGUCUUCAAUUCCUGGGCUCAAGUGAUCUACCCGCCUUAGCCUCCCAAAGUGCUGUGAUUACAGGGUCUUGUUCUAUCACCCGGGCUGGAAUGCAGUGGUAUAAUUACAGCUUACUGCAGCCUCAACUUCCUGGGCUCAAGUGAUCCUCCCACCUCAGCUUCCCAAGUAGCUGGUACUCCCGGCACCUGUCACCACACCCAGGAAAUUUUUAAGUUUUUUGUAGAGAUGGGGUCUCGCUAUGUUGUCCAGGCUGGUCUCGAAAUCCUGGGCUCAAGAGAUCUUCUUGCCUCCCAAGUUUCUGGGAGCCUCCCAAAGUUCUGGGAUUACAGGCAAGAGCCACUAUGCCUGGCCAUGAUAUUUCAUAAUAAAAAUGAUUACUAAUGUGC